UACGUAGGGGGCAAGCGUUGUCCGGAUUUAUUGGGCGUAAAGAGCGUGUAGGCGGCCAGGUAGGUCAGCUGUGAAAACUCGAGGCUCAACCUCGAGACGCCGGUUGAAACCAUCUGGCUAGAGUCCGGAAGAGGAGAGUGGAAUUCCUGGUGUAGCGGUGAAAUGCGCAGAUAUCAGGAGGAACACCGGUGGCGAAGGCGGGUCUCUGGACCGAUACUGACGCUGAGGAGCGAAAGCGUGGGGAGCGAACAGG
rnacentral:rRNA from 1 species